GGGCUCGACUUGGUUUCGACUCUGUGCAUCAACCCAGGGGAAGCGUGCCGGUGCAGGCUGGAGACCACCGUGAGCGUCGCAGCAAUCAAUAAACGCAGAGAAGAACUCUCAGCGUGACUACGCCCUCGCUGCCUAAUUAGCGAGCUGCGUGUCUGUCAGUCCGGGUUAGUCCCAGACCCGGUUCUUGGCAUCGACUUAUAGGGACUUGCCACCUGGCUCCGCCAACACGGCUAGGUGGGACUUCUAGUGUUGGCUGGGCCCACCAUCCAGGCAUGUUCGCCUGACCUGGAGGGUCAAGUAGAGGUACUGUGCGAACUGCGCACGGAGAAGCCCUGGCAAGAUCACGGAGGACCCGGGUUCAAUUCCCGGCGGGUCCACUU
rnacentral:tmRNA from 1 species